UCCUGCAGUCAAUGCUUUUAAUUACAAUUCUCUGUGAGGGAUGACUACUGAUCGUGAGUUGUUGUGGGUUUUUUUUAUGCUUCAUGGCUGCAUGACAGUUUCACUGCUACGCUACUAACCUAAUUGUGCUCUCUUCCUCAGCAGAAUGAGUCCCAGCUGAAAAGUCAAACAUCUCUGAUGAGAAUUCACAAAACUCCUCAUGACUUCCUCCUAGCAUCAGGUAGCACAUGCACUGGAUCAUAAGAGAAGGAAGAAACUGUACUGGGACACUUCAUUUUGUUAUUGCCAUUGCAUCCUUAACUGCCAGGCCUCUAAGGCCAGCAAAUGUCUGGAUCAGGAGAAGAUAUUGCAUCAGCAAGGAGGUAAACAGCUUGUGAAAAGACUAUUUCUUGCACUAGGCCUCUCUAAGUUACGAAGUACUGAAUGUCCUUUGAAAAUGGACAGAUCUGCAAAGAUAGAGGCAGAGGGUAAAUUCUUUUCAUGUUUACUGGGACACAAGCUGGGAUACGACAAAUGUAUUAUCCUUCACCUGUUAAAUGGGACAACCAAGUUUACUGACUUCCUCCAACACAGCUCAACAGUGAAGAGAGGACUAGUUUUAUAACAUUCUCACUGGAUGGAAAACAUAUACGUAAGGCAUGAUGGACACAAAAGUAACCUGAUGGCAUCUCAACAAGUUCUCCUUUACCAGGACAAAUUCAAAGUAUGCUUAAAAUUACUGCAUCUCAGAUGUGCCUCACUGCCCACUUGUGUAUUGUUAUUAGGAGAAGUUGUCAGAACAUGAUCUAUAUACCCCAUUAGCUUUAACCAACUUCCAUUCACUAAAUUGCAGGAGAUGGAUAAAGGUCAAUUGGUGGCUGAGAAAAUUGAGUUUAAUCACAGGCCACCUAAAUGAGGAAAGACAUUACCAUCUGGUAUUAUAUAGUAAAUUAAAUGGACUCUUCUCUGGCCUGUAAAGGUCAUUAUACAUUGUAAGGCAAAGGUUGUGCUGUGGAAAUGCUAAUUGAUUUUUAAUAUUGGCUGCUGACUUUCCUGUAGAGGGUGUUGAGUGCCUCUUGGGAGUGCUAGCUGACACUCAUUCCCAAUUCAGCCAUAAUUCCCGCUCCAAACCAGUGAAAUCAGAUAGACUUCCAGCU
rnacentral:lncRNA from 1 species